rnacentral:rRNA from 1 species
UAGGGAAUCUUCCGCAAGGGACGCAAGUCUGACGGAGCAACGCCGCGUGAGUGAAGAAGGAUUUCGGAUCGGAAAGCUCGGUUGUUAAGGAAGAACGAGUGUGAGAAUGGAAAGUUCAUGCUGUGACGGUACUUAACCAGAAAGGGACGGCUAACUACGUGCCAGCAGCCGCGGUAAUACGUAGGUCCCGAGCGUUGUCCGGAUUUAUUGGGCGUAAAGCGAGCGCAGGAGGUUAGAAAAGUCUGAAGUGAAAGGCAGUGGCUCAACCAUUGUUGGCUUUGUAAACUGUUUAACAUGCGUGCAGACGGGGAGAGUGGAAUUCCAUGUGUAGCGGUGAAAUGCGUAGCUAUAUGGAGGAACACCGGUGGCGAAAGCGGCUCUCUGGUCUGUAACUGACGCUGAGGCUCGAAAGCGUGGGGAGCGAACAGG